rnacentral:misc_RNA from 1 species
UUUUAAACGUAAAUAACCAGUCAUCCAUCACCAUUCUUUUACUACUGAGAAAAGAAAAUAUACAAAAGGGUGAAAUUUCCUUGAUCCAAACAAUCAUUAAUAACAUCAUGAACACAUUUGUUCAGAAGACAUUCAAAUAGAGGUCCCCCAAAUCCUGUUAUCAAGGGUUUUGGCCAUCCAUCUAUUAUGAUCUAUCCCAUUACCAGGAGAUGUGUUGGUUUGCUUGAAAAGAUACUAGCCACUCUCAAAUCUCUUCUCCACCACUACUACAACCCAUAUUUAAGAAAAAGGGGGAAAAAUAAAUUAAAAAAUCCAAAAGACCAAAGUUCAGACAAAGAACUUUGGCUAUUUAUCUGGGUUUUCUUGAGAAAGUAGCCCACCACCCCACCCCCCCAACUAAGUUUCCUUGAGAGAAAAGGUUUGAAAAAGACCAAACAAAGAAAAAGAAAAACAAUAAUCCAGAAGGAAAUGAAAUGGGAAAGAGAGAUAUAAUGGACAUAACAGAGUUUUCUUUCCCACCCUAAAAUCUAAAUUGACAUGAAAAGAUUCACACCUGAUACUUGGUUUGACCUUCAAAAGCUUAAGAACUCAUCAUCUUGCUAUUUUCUUUGUGUCUUUCUUGGUUCCUUGCCAAUGUAGAAAGGUGGGGGGU